rnacentral:rRNA from 1 species
GCACGGAGCUUGCUCUGGUGGCGAGUGGCGAACGGGUGAGUAAUAUAUCGGAACGUACCCUAGAGUGGGGGAUAACGUAGCGAAAGUUACGCUAAUACCGCAUACGAUCUAAGGAUGAAAGUGGGGGAUCGCAAGACCUCAUGCUCGUGGAGCGGCCGAUAUCUGAUUAGCUAGUUGGUAGGGUAAAAGCCUACCAAGGCAUCGAUCAGUAGCUGGUCUGAGAGGACGACCAGCCACACUGGAACUGAGACACGGUCCAGACUCCUACGGGAGGCAGCAGUGGGGAAUUUUGGACAAUGGGCGAAAGCCUGAUCCAGCAAUGCCGCGUGAGUGAAGAAGGCCUUCGGGUUGUAAAGCUCUUUUGUCAGGGAAGAAACGGUGAGAGCUAAUAUCUCUUGCUAAUGACGGUACCUGAAGAAUAAGCACCGGCUAACUACGUGCCAGCAAGCCGCGGUAAUACGUAGGGUGCAAGCGUUAAUCGGAAUUA